AUUGAACGCUGGCGGCAGGCCUAACACAUGCAAGUCGAGCGGAUGAAGGGAGCUUGCUCCUGGAUUCAGCGGCGGACGGGUGAGUAAUGCCUAUGAAUCUGCCUGGUAGUGGGGGAUAACGUCCGGAAACGGGCGCUAAUACCGCAUACGUCCUGAGGGAGAAAGUGGGGGAUCUUCGGACCUCACGCUAUCAGAUGAGCCUAGGUCGGAUUAGCUAGUUGGUGGGGUAAAGGCCUACCAAGGCGACGAUCCGUAACUGGUCUGAGAGGAUGAUCAGUCACACUGGAACUGAGACACGGUCCAGACUCCUACGGGAGGCAGCAGUGGGGAAUAUUGGACAAUGGGCGAAAGCCUGAUCCAGCCAUGCCGCGUGUGUGAAGAAGGUCUUCGGAUUGUAAAGCACUUUAAGUUGGGAGGAAGGGAAGUAAGUUAAUACCUUGCUGUUUUGACGUUACCAACAGAAUAAGCACCGGCUAACUUCGUG
rnacentral:rRNA from 1 species